CCAAUAGCGUAUAUUAAAGUUGUUGCAGUUAAAAAGCUCGUAGUUGAAUUUUAGGCCUGACCAGGCGGUCCGUCUCGGGCGAGUACUGUCCUGUUGUCGGAUCUAUCCUUCUGGUGAGCCGGUAUGUCCUUAAUUGGGUGUGUCGGGGAACCAGGACCAUUACCUUGAAAAAAUUAGAGUGUUUAAAGCGGGCUUUUGCUUGAAUAGAUU
rnacentral:rRNA from 1 species